rnacentral:rRNA from 1 species
UACAGGGGUCUCAAGCGUUGUUCGGAUUCAUUGGGCGUAAAGGGUGCGUAGGUGGGCAGGUAAGUCAGUGGUGAAAUCUCCGGGCUUAACCCGGAAACUGCCAUUGAUACUAUCUGUCUUGAAUACCGUGGAGGUGAGCGGAAUAUGUCAUGUAGCGGUGAAAUGCUUAGAUAUGACAUAGAACACCAAUUGCGAAGGCAGCUCACUACGCGAAUAUUGACACUGAGGCACGAAAGCGUGGGGAUCAAACAGG